UACGUAGGAGGCGAGCGUUGUCCGGAUUUACUGGGCGUAAAGCGUGCGUAGGUGGUUCGUUAAGUCUGAUGUGAAAGCCCUGGGCUCAACCUGGGAAUGGCAUUGGAAACUGGCGACCUAGAGUGCGGUAGAGGGCAGUGGAAUUCCCGGUGUAGCAGUGAAACGCGUAGAGAUCGGGAGGAACAUCUGUGGCGAAGGCGACUGCCUGGACCAGCACUGACACUGAGGCACGAAAGCGUGGGGAGCAAACAGG
rnacentral:rRNA from 1 species